UACGUAGGGUGCAAGCGUUAAUCGGAAUUACUGGGCGUAAAGCGUGCGCAGGCGGCUUUGCAAGUCAGAUGUGAAAUCCCCGGGCUUAACCUGGGAACUGCAUUUGUGACUGCAUGGCUGGAGUGCGGCAGAGGGGGAUGGAAUUCCGCGUGUAGCAGUGAAAUGCGUAGAUAUGCGGAGGAACACCGAUGGCGAAGGCAGUCCCCUGGGCCGGCACUGACGCUCAUGCACGAAAGCGUGGGGAGCAAACAGG
rnacentral:rRNA from 1 species